rnacentral:rRNA from 1 species
UGGGGAAUUUUGAACAAUGGGCGAAAGCCUGAUCCAGCAAUGCCGCGUGUGUGAAGAAGGCCUUCGGGUUGUAAAGCACUUUUGUCCGGAAAGAAAUCCUUGGCUCUAAUACAGUCGGGGGAUGACGGUACCGGAAGAAUAAGCACCGGCUAACUACGUGCCAGCAGCCGCGGUAAUACGUAGGGUGCAAGCGUUAAUCGGAAUUACUGGGCGUAAAGCGUGCGCAGGCGGUUUGCUAAGACCGAUGUGAAAUCCCCGGGCUCAACCUGGGAACUGCAUUGGUGACUGGCAGGCUAGAGUAUGGCAGAGGGGGGUAGAAUUCCACGUGUAGCAGUGAAAUGCGUAGAGAUGUGGAGGAAUACCGAUGGCGAAGGCAGCCCCCUGGGCCAAUACUGACGCUCAUGCACGAAAGCGUGGGGAGCAAACAGGAUUAGAUACCCUGGUAGUCCACGCCCUAAAACGAUGUCAACUAGUUGUUGGGGAUUCAUUUCCUUAGUAACGUAGCUAACGCGUGAAGUUGACCGCCUGGGGAGUACGGUCGCAAGAUUAAAACUCAAAUGAAUUGACGGGGUCAUAGCUGUUUCCU